AUGCAGGUGCCAGGACUUUGGUCUGAUGUACCUUGCUUGAGAUGUCUGUGGGGUGUCUGAGGGACAGAGACUCCAGCAGGGUCAGGGGUGCUGGAGUUAGGGGCUCAGUGUGCAGGGAAAUGUGCACAUGGGUGUUGUGGCAUAUGCAUGGCACAUAGAGCCCUGGCUUGCAUGUGAUCAAAUAGGGGUGGGUGUCUAUGGAGAAAAGGAGUAGGUCCCAGCCAUGCUGUGAGCACUCCAGCAUUAGAUGCUGGGUGAGGGAGGACGUGUGAGCAAAGCAGGGGUGGGAGAAGGAGGAAGCCCAGAAGAAGUUAAAUCAAGGAGGCAGUAGCAAGGGCCUCAGUGGGUGACAGAAAAUCAAUAAGCUGUCAAAGAAAAGUCAGAUAAAUUAUACUGCAUCAAAGGAAGUCAUUUGUGCAUAGAAAAAACAACUCAGUGUCAAAAAACAAAUGACAAACUGAGAAACUCUCCAGAGGCAAAGGGCUAAUUAACCUAAGAAAAUAGCUCCAAUGAAUCAACAAGAAAGACCAACGACCUGACAAACAUGGGCAAAGGAUGUGAACAGGAAAGGAAAUGUAACUAAUGUUUAAAUCUCAUAAAAUAUGCUUAAUCCCCUCCUAAUAAGAAAACUGCACAUCAGAGCUGUACUCAUCUACCAUUUCCAUACCCUUACUGCAGGGACCCAAGUGUUUGUGUGCAUUGCUGGUGAUCAUGAAUGGGAAGCCAGUCUGGCAAAAUACAUCAAAAUGGCAAAUUUCCCACAAUUUGAUCCAGCAAUUCCACUUUCAGGCAUAAAAUCCACAAAGAUGAACAGAAGAAAAAUAAGCCAACAAACCAACCCCUGACAUUUUCUAGUCUGGAAAGCAGAUGGGUAAAUGGCAACUGUGGGGCAGACUAAAGGUGAACACUAAGCCAGCAAUGGGGAAAAUUGAAAAAAAUCAACUCGUUUUACCCCAAAGAAGACUUGAAAAGUUCAGGACUUGGAGGUACCAGGUACCUCAGGUUGUGCAUGUGAAGCGACAGGGGCACCAAGCAGGCUGGGGAGGCUGUGUCAGAAACAGAAGCUGGGCAUGGCUAAAGCACAGAACAGCCCUGGGCUCUGUCUGCACAGAAUCCUGAGUAAAUGGUGGGCACUGCUGUAGCUCGCAUCCCUGGAUCUCUCUUUCCCAUCGUGGCAAAAGGCUGGGUUGAGGAUGGGAGACCAUACUGAGGAAGUCAAGAGAUUAAGUGAAGUCACACUGGGCACUAAGACACCAGCCUCUCUCCUGGGAUGCUUGCAAGAUGCUGGAUGUGCCCUCUUGGAAGACUCAGAGGAAAGACCCAAAGAUGUUCACAGCAAUGGGGUGCCCCCAAAUGGCCCAGCCACAUUGCCCUAUGGAUCCUUUAGUAGCGUCCAUUUAUACUCCACCCACCCGCUCACAUCCCCCAAGAAGUGGGUCUCCUUGACUAGUGACGCCCAACAUUCCUUCCAGCCCUGGUUUGUUGUCAUGGCUGAUAAGCUUCUCACCUACCUGCUCAGAGCCGCCAGAUCUGUGGUCCCUCUGAGACUACACUGGGAGAAAAAACUUAAAUUAUUGCAAUCCUCAGAGAAAUGAGGAAAGAUGUUAUGUUACAACUGUAAGAACAACAGGAAGUGGCUAUAAAAAUGAACAGCAAAUGGAAACACUCUUGGAAAUUAAAACUAUGCUAGGAAACACAAAAAUCUCAACAGAAAAUCUGGAAAAUAUAAUUAAGGAAAUUUUCUGGAAAAUAGAGCAGAAAGAAAAGGAUGGGAAAUCGGAGUGAAAUGAACAUUAGAGGACCUGCCUCAGAGGCCAAUAGGCAAGUAUCAGGCAUUCCAGAAACAAGAGAACAGAACAAUGGAGGGGAAGGAAAUCAAAGAAACAAUUCAAGCCAAUUUCCCACAACUGAGAUGUGAAUUUCAUCUCAUCAACAAUGGUGGUAAAAAAUGUUUGAGACUGAGUUAAUAAAAAGAAUUCCUCAUCCAGCCAAACUUCA